UACGGAGGGUGCAAGCGUUAAUCGGAAUUACUGGGCGUAAAGCGCACGCAGGCGGUCAUUUAGGUCAGAUGUGAAAGCCCCGGGCUUAACUUGGGAAUUGCAUUUGAAACUGGUAGGCUAGAGUCUUGUAGAGGGGGGUAGAAUUCCAUGUGUAGCGGUGAAAUGCGUAGAGAUGUGGAGGAAUACCGGCGGCGAAGGCGGCCCCCUGGGCAAGGACUGACGCUCAGGUGCGAAAGCGUGGGGAGCAAACAGG
rnacentral:rRNA from 1 species